GACCUUUCCGGUGGCCUAAGUGGUAAGAGUGUCCGCUUUGGAUGCGGAAGAUCGUUGUUUCGAAUGCCGGUCGAGUCA